UGGGGAAUCUUGCGCGAUGCGCGAAAGCGUGACGCAGCAACGCCGCGUGGGGGAAGACGGCCUUCGGGUUGUAAACCCCUUUCAGGAGGGACGAAGGUUCGGCGGUGAACAGCCGUCCGGACUGACGGUACCUCCAGAAGAAGCUCCGGCUAACUACGUGCCAGCAGCCGCGGUAAUACGUAGGGGGCAAGCGUUGUCCGGAAUCAUUGGGCGUAAAGCGCGCGUAGGCGGCCCUGUAAGUCCGCUGUAAAAGUCAAAGGCUCAACCCUUGAAAGCCGGUGGAUACUGCAGGGCUAGAGUCCGGAAGAGGCGAGUGGAAUUCUUGGUGUGGCGGUGGAAUGCGCAGAUAUCAGGAGGAACACCGAUAGCGAAGGCAGCUCGCUGGGACGGUACUGACGCUAAGGCGCGAAAGCGUGGGGAGCGAACAGGAUUAGAUACCCGUGUAGUCC
rnacentral:rRNA from 1 species